rnacentral:rRNA from 1 species
UUUCGGUUUCUGAUUCUAGCGGCGGACGGGUGAGUAACACGUGGGAACGUGCCCUUCAGAAAGGAAUACCCUGUGGGCAUUUAUGUCCUUUGGGAAACUCAGGUUAAUACCGUAUACGCCCUUUUGGGGGAAAGAUUUAUCGCUGAGGGAUCGGCCCGCGCCUGAUUAGGCAGUUGGUGGGGUAAUGGCCUACCAAACCGACGAUCAGUAGCUGGUUUGAGAGGAUGAUCAGCCACACUGGGACUGAGACACGGCCCAGACUCCUACGGGAGGCAGCAGUGGGGAAUUUUGGACAAUGGGGGAAACCCUGAUCCAGCCAUGCCGCGUGAGUGAAGAAGGCCCUAGGGUUGUAAAACUCUUUCAACAGUGAAGAUAAUGACGGUAACUGUAGAAGAAGCCCCGGCUAACUCCGUGCCAGCAGCCGCGGUAAUACGUAGGGAGCGAGCGUUGUUCGGAUUUACUGGGGCGUAAAGGGCACGUAGGCGGGUAUGCAAGUCGGUUGUGAAAUCCUCUGGCUCAACCAGAGAACUGCAGCCGAAACUGCACACCUUGAGUCCAGCAGAGGGAAUCGGAAUCCCAGGUGUA